AAACGUCCGUAGCCGGUUUGGUACAUUCGUGGGUAAAUCAACCCGCUCAACGUCUUGAAUUCUGCGAGCACGGCCAGACUUGGGACCGGGAGAGGUGUGGGGUACUCUCAGGGUAGGGGUAAAAUCCUGUCAUCCUGAGAGGACCACCUGUUGCGAAGGCGCCACACUAGAACGGAUCCGACGGUCAGGGACGAAGCCUAGGGGCACGAACCGGAUUAGAUACCCGGGUAGUCCUAGGUGUAAACGCUGUGGACUUGAUGUUGGGAGUGCUCCGAGCACCCUCAGUGUCGAAGCGAAGGUGAUAAGUCCACUGCCUGGGGAGUACGGUCGCAAGGCUGAAACUUAAAGGAAUUGGCGGGGGAGCAC
rnacentral:rRNA from 1 species